UUUGUUUCGUGUGUCGUAUUAUUUCUCAAAACGCGAUCGUGAUAUCUACUGGCAAAUGCCACUCGUAUUAAAAUGAAAAAUAAAACGUAUCAUUAGUAAACGUAAAAAGCGGGCUUAGCUACACUAUUUAUUAACAGCAGAGAAUUUGGUCGAAUUUUUUUAAACCGCGCCGCAUUAGGCGGAUACUUAAUUAUUUUUUAUUUUUGUAUUCUUCGUCGUAAUAAUGUAAAACAAAAUUAACGUCGUAAUAUCGGGAGUGCUAUAUAAAGUGCCGUAUGAUGGUAUUUUAAUAUGGUGGAUGAUCAUAUUUUAAUAAGUAACGCGAUCGUAAUUAAUUAAAAUUUUCGCGAGUGAGAGUUAUAGUGCGACGAGGAGCAGCAAAGAAAAAUGAAUAAAAGAGGAGAAAGAAGAGGCAAUAACGGAGUUAAUCGUAAAAAAAUACGAGGGAAAAUCUUGAGCGAAACCAAAUAUAUCUCGCAAUCAAGACAAUGAGAUACAGGACGGAUAGAAAGAUUGAAAGCACGAGUUGCAAUGGAGAU